rnacentral:rRNA from 1 species
UACGUAGGGUGCAAGCGUUGUCCGGAAUUAUUGGGCGUAAAGAGCUCGUAGGCGGUUUGUUACGUCGGAUGUGAAAACCUGAGGCUCAACCUCAGGCCUGCAUUCGAUACGGGCAAACUAGAGUUUGGUAGGGGAGACUGGAAUUCCUGGUGUAGCGGUGGAAUGCGCAGAUAUCAGGAGGAACACCAAUGGCGAAGGCAGGUCUCUGGGCCAAUACUGACACUGAGGAGCGAAAGUCUGGGGAGCGAACAGG